CAUUCACAGUCGAGUUUUAGCGCUGCCCCUUUUGAAAUACUUGCAUCUACAUUUUGUUACGAUAGCGAAAGGAUCGGAGGAGAAGAGUUUUGGCGGGUCGAAAAAAGCGCGAUCCCACAGCUCGAUGUGUCUAGACAAAAUUUUUUGUCCCAUCGCGAAGUGCCUAUAAACAGCAGAACGAUUAUUGACCCCGAAUUCUCAGGCCGGGAAGUGUGAAAUCUCGUGAUGAUCGAGGCCGAGAUUGAGAAAACAUAAACAGGAAAAUCAUCUCGUGCUUUACAAAUCGCACGAAGAGAAUUCACGCAGAGGGCGCGAUCACUCUGCGGGUUUCUCAAUCCAAACGUUCACGUAUUGAUGCACGUUCCUAGAUUCCCGAGAGUUUGUUUGUAGUGAACAGAGCACGGGAUGUUUGAGACUUUAAUCUCACGAGUUCUACCGAUUGGUACGCUCUCCAGGCUUCUGGAAAAUCUCCGAUGACACGUGUUUGUGGAUCUAUAUUCGAGAGGAAGUGAAAACGGGUUGUUCGACAUUAACGAAAUAUAGAAAAAGAAGCAAUCAAAAAAAAACUCCGUCGAAAUCGAAGGAUCAUCGACGGGUAGUCUCGAGUGGACGUUUAAACGGCUAGCCCCGGAGCUCUUCAGAGUCCGAUCUUCGAAGAUCUUCAUCCGUUAAGAUGACCAGCGUGAAAGACGAAUGACCGUUGAAAAAAAUACGCCAUAAGGACAGUAGGCAGGCGCCGCUGGCAAAUCGUGAGAAAUCUUCGACACUCGAAAAGAAAAAAAAAGAGAGAGAGAAAAAGCGUAACAACAAGAGAGAAAAAGAACGAGGGACGAUGAGCAAUAAAUCAGGAAGUUCAGGUUGGAAUAAUACAACGUACGUGAGUCGAAGAAGGGACGAACCUGACUGCAAGAGCUGGAAUAGAAAUCACUUCGCGCCAAUGUGGCGCCUGAUGCAGAUGUCGAGAUGUAUUUUGCAAUCGUGAUGCAUACAAAUCGAAAUAGAGAAUUUCAUCGUGACGAGCCGAGAUAACUAUGAAAACGUCGGUGUGAUGAAAAAAAAAAGAAACAAAAAAAUUCUCGAAUAUUUUUCAUCUUUUAAAUGUAAAAAGGAAAAAUUGAUUAACUGUUAUCACAUUUCGAGAAAUUGAAAACAGAGGUGAAGGUAA